rnacentral:rRNA from 1 species
AUUGAACGCUGGCGGCAGGCCUAACACAUGCCAGUCGAACGGUAACAGGAAGAAGCUUGCUUCUUUGCUGACGAGUGGCGGACGGGUGAGUAAUGUCUGGGAAACUGCCUGAUGGAGGGGGAUACUACUGGAAACGGUAGCUAAUACCGCAUAAUGUCGCAAGACCAAAGAGGGGGACCUUCGGGCCUCUUGCCAUCGGAUGUGCCCAGAUGGGAUUAGCUAGUAGGUGGGGUAACGGCUCACCUAGGCGACGAUCCCUAGCUGGUCUGAGAGGAUGACCGGCCACACUGGAACUGAGACACGGUCCAGACUCCUACGGGAGGCAGCAGUGGGGAAUAUUGCACAAUGGGCGCAAGCCUGAUGCAGCUAUGCCGCGUGUAUGAAGAAGGCCUUCGGGUUGUAAAGUACUUUCAGCGGGGAGGAAGGGAGUAAAGUUAAUACCUUUGCUCAUUGACGUUACCCGCAGAAGAAGCACCGGCUAACUCCGUG